GACGAACGCUGGCGGCGUGCUUAACACAUGCAAGUCGAGCGAUGAAGUUUCCUUCGGGAAACGGAUUAGCGGCGGACGGGUGAGUAACACGUGGGUAACCUGCCUCAUAGAGUGGAAUAGCCUUCCGAAAGGAAGAUUAAUACCGCAUAAUGUUGAAAGAUGGCAUCAUCAUUCAACCAAAGGAGCAAUCCGCUAUGAGAUGGACCCGCGGCGCAUUAGCUAGUUGGUGGGGUAACGGCCCAUCAAGGCGACGAUGCGUAGCCGGCCUGAGAGGGCGGACGGCCACACUGGGACUGAGACACGGCCCAG
rnacentral:rRNA from 1 species